rnacentral:rRNA from 1 species
CCCACUGAAAAAUUUAAAGGGCUGCAGUAUAUUGACUGUACAAAGGUAGCAUAAUAAUUAGUCUUUUAAUUGAAGACUUGUAUGAAUGAUUCGAUGAAAUAUAGACUGUUUCUUUAUUAAUAAUAGAAUUUAAUUUUUUAGUUAAAAAGCUAAAAUUUUUUUAAAAGACGAGAAGACCCUAUAGAGUUUAAUUUUUUUAAUUUUUGUAAUUAUUUUAUAAAAUUUAUAAUUUAUAAAAAUUAAAAAAUUUUGUUGGGGUGAUAGAAAAAUUUAAUUAACUUUUUUUAAAAAUUUAACAUUAAUGUAUGAAUUUAUGAUCCAUAAUUUAUGAUUAAAAGAUUAAAUUACCUUAGGGAUAACAGCGUAAUUUUUUUUUUUAGUUCAAAUAAAAAUUAAAGUUUGCGACCUCGAUGUUGGAUUAAGAUAAAAUUUAAAUGCAAAAGUUUAAAAUUUU